rnacentral:rRNA from 1 species
GACGAACGCUGGCGGCGUGCUUAACACAUGCAAGUCGAACGGUAAGGCUCCAGCUUGCUGGGGUACACGAGUGGCGAACGGGUGAGUAACACGUGGGUGACCUGCCCUGCACUUCGGGAUAAGCCUGGGAAACUGGGUCUAAUACCGGAUAGGACCGCACCGUGAGGGUGUGGUGGAAAGUUUUUUCGGUGUGGGAUGGGCCCGCGGCCUAUCAGCUUGUUGGUGGGGUAAUGGCCUACCAAGGCGGCGACGGGUAGCCGGCCUGAGAGGGUGGACGGCCACAUUGGGACUGAGACACGGCCCAGACUCCUACGGGAGGCAGCAGUGGGGAAUAUUGCACAAUGGGCGGAAGCCUGAUGCAGCGACGCGGCGUGGGGGAUGACGGCCUUCGGGUUGUAAACUCCUUUCACCAUCGACGAAGGGUUUCUGACGGUAGAUGGAGAAGAAGCACCGGCUAACUACGUG